rnacentral:rRNA from 1 species
AUGGCGGCACGUCACCGGCGCCACCGCGUCGAGGCACCGAAGCCAGCAUGGCUCGUCACGAUCAAGGCCACGCCGCCGGUGCCGGCGAGGGGCGACGCUGCCAAGAGGCUCGUCGCGCCCACUCGCUCGCCGAUCCUGCUGUCGCCGUCGGUGUGGCAGAAGGCGCAGCUCGACAAGAAGGGCAUGGCCGUCGGCGACCGUGGCGACACCGGGGUUGCGCCAGCGCCGGCAUCGCCGAGGAUCGGCUGCAUGGGGCAGGUCAAGGGCGCACGGAGAUGCCCGAGAGCGCGCUGCCCGGCCUCCUCGAGGGGACCGGCGGCGUCGGGCCUCCCAUGCGGCAGCCUGGCGGGGCUACUGAUGGGGCUGUUCCGGCGGCGGUCGACGGGGAGGAAGUCGCGCGCAUACUCCAAGGUCAGGGACGUGGCGAGUGACUCGUCGUCGUCAGGGAGCGCACGGCGUGGUGCCCGUGCGCCACGCCCGCUUGAGCUCGACCCGCCGUUGCCGGUGCCGGCGCCGGUGGUGAGACGGCCGGCCGUGGAAGAGAACGCGCCCAGCCUUUGGGGGCGGCGGCGCGGCGGCGCAAAGGUCCUAGAGGUCACCUCCGGCGCGGUCGGCCCCGCCUCCAGUCUCCUCCGGCGCGCCGGCCUGUCGCCCAUCGCCUCCACUGUGCCGGCCGGGUGCCCCGUCGCCCAGGCGCGGUCGGCCCGUCUCCCCUUGCCUCCGCCGCGCCGGCCUCCCGUCGCCACCUCCACCAGAAGCGUCUGCCGCCCAUCGACCACGGACUCCCACCAGCCGGCCACCAUACACCGCGGCCCAAGCUCUUCUCCCUUUCCUCAUUUAUUUCCCUCUCACAAGAAGUUCUCUCUUCCGCAGGAGCUGGCCAUGGAGGUCCUUCACGCUGCCGCCGCCCAAGCUCUUGAAGUCGCGCACGACCCUGCAGAUCCGGUCGAGGUCGAGCAGCCAUCGCCGGAUCUGAUGCCCGUGACCCCGCCGGACCUCCCUGCCUCUCCAUGUCAGCACUGCCGCAUCCCAACCACACCGCCGGCGCUGCCUUGCCCAGGAGAAGACGAAGACUCGAUUGCUUUUUUACAAUUUUUUGUAAGGAAUGAUAGUUGGGUCAUGAGGAGUACCCAACCAUAA